GCCAUUUUUAGUUAGAAUCUGCGGGGACAGCAAAUAUUUGGCCCGGCGUACAGGAAUUUGAUAUUAAGGCUUACGGUAGUGGAUUAGUUUGCUACAUACAACAAGGCUCUAUAGCUAUCCAUCACUUCCGAAGUAAAUCAAGUGGGUAUAAGUUGGAAAGAAUAUGUU
rfam:Bacteroides sp. 1_1_6 cont1.122, whole genome shotgun sequence.